rnacentral:rRNA from 1 species
CCUACGGGAGGCUUCAGUGGGGAAUAUUGGACAAUGGGGGCAACCCUGAUCCAGCCAUGCCGCGUGUGUGAAGAAGGCCCUCGGGUUGUAAAGCACUUUCAGUGAGGAAGAACGCCUGGUGGUUAAUACCCAUCAGGAAAGACAUCACUCACAGAAGAAGCACCGGCUAACUCCGUGCCAGCAGCCGCGGUAAUACGGAGGGUGCGAGCGUUAAUCGGAAUUACUGGGCGUAAAGCGCGCGUAGGUGGCUUGAUAAGCCGGUUGUGAAAGCCCCGGGCUCAACCUGGGAACGGCAUCCGGAACUGUCAAGCUAGAGUGCAGGAGAGGAAGGUAGAAUUCCCGGUGUAGCGGUGAAAUGCGUAGAGAUCGGGAGGAAUACCAGUGGCGAAGGCGGCCUUCUGGACUGACACUGACACUGAGGUGCGAAAGCGUGGGUAGCAAACAGGAUUAGAUACCCCUGUAGUC